ensembl:lncRNA
CUCCUCAGUAGGCUCUCUCACGUUACACGUGCCUCGUGGGAAAUUGGACGCAUACAUGGCACAUUUAAAAUGUUUAAAUGCAAUCACAAAGCGGUUUUCCCAGCCCCAAGCUUUGCAGUGUCACAUUUCAAAAGGCAGGAAAGCAGCAAUAAACCUCCUGUAAGCGUGCAGACAGGGCAGCAGAAGGUGGCAGCGGUCCCCAGGUGCCCAUGUUUCAAGCAGUGAGUGUUAACUCGCCAAGGGAUCUCUACAUGCAAGCAGCCUUGGAUGGAGAACAAGGUACUACAAAAAACUUUUCAGCAGAGAGUUUACAAAGACCACAAUUGUGCCCUUCUUCCAGCAUGGAUUCAGGAUGCUAGCUCCUUGUCUCGCACUGCAAGACUUCUUGUUAAG